rnacentral:rRNA from 1 species
AGUGAACGCUGGCGGCAGGCCUAAUACAUGCAAGUCGAACGGCAGCACAGUGGAGCUUGCUCCAUGGGUGGCGAGUGGCGGACGGGUGAGGAAUACAUGGGAAUCUGCCCAGUCGUGGGGGAUAACGUAUGGAAACGUACGCUAAUACCGCAUGCGCCCUUCGGGGGAAAGUCGGGGACCGCAAGGCCUGACGCGAUUGGAUGAGCCCAUGUUCGAUUAGCUAGUUGGCGGGGUAACGGCCCACCAAGGCGACGAUCGAUAGCUGGUCUGAGAGGAUGAUCAGCCACACUGGAACUGAGACACGGUCCAGACUCCUACGGGAGGCAGCAGUAGGGAAUAUUGGACAAUGGGCGCAAGCCUGAUCCAGCCAUGCCGCGUGAGUGAAGAAGGCCCUCGGGUUGUAAAGCUCUUUGUUGGGGAAGAAAAGCAGUUGGUUAAUACCCGAUUGUUCUGACGGUACCCAAAGAAUAAGCACCGGCUAACUUCGUGCCAGCAGCCG